GUCGAGAAUCUUCCGCAAUGCGCGAAAGCGUGACGGAGCGACACCGCGUGAUGGAUGAAGUCCUUCGGGGCGUAAACAUCUUUUAUAAAGGAGGAAAUUUUUGACGUUACUUUAUGAAUAAGGGGCUCCCAAUCUCGUGCCAGCAGGAGCGGUACUACGAGAGCCUCAAGCGUUAUCCGGAAUCAUUGGGCGUAAAGGGUGCGUAGGUGGUUUGAUUAGUCUCCCGUUAAAACUUCGAGCUUAACUCGAAAAGAGCGGGGGAAACGGUCAAACUAGAGUAUGUGAGAGGUGUGUGGAACUCAUGGUGUAGGGGUGAAAUCCGUUGAUAUCAUGGGGAACACCAAAAGCGAAGGCAGCACACUGGCACAUCACUGACACUGAGGCACGAAACCUAAGGUAGCGAAUGGGAUUAGAAACCCUGGUAGUCC
rnacentral:rRNA from 1 species